rnacentral:rRNA from 1 species
UACAGAGGUCUCAAGCGUUGUUCGGAUUCAUUGGGCGUAAAGGGUGCGUAGGUGGCGCCGUAAGUCGGGUGUGAAAACUGGAGGCUCAACCUUCAGAGGUCGACCGAAACCAUCUGGCUAGAGUCCGGGAGAGGAGAGUGGAAUUCCUGGUGUAGCGGUGAAAUGCGCAGAUAUCAGGAAGAACACCCGUGGCGAAAGCGGCUCUCUGGAACGGUACUGACGCUGAGACGCGAAAGCGUGGGGAGCGAACAGG